rnacentral:lncRNA from 1 species
UCACGCACUGAUCAGUCACUGGCUGGGCACUGCUGGGGAAGAGUGUUGCCUCAGCUCAAAAGCAGAAUCGGAUCCUGAAGGACCUAAUGACUAGAAACUUCCAGCUGACUACACUCUGCAACUGACUGAUGGCACAUUGCAUAAAGAAACGCGAACCCAGCAGCACUCCUGCCAGCGGCAAUUCUGAGUGCUCAUUUCCACUUUGCCAAGACAUUACAUGGGAAGGCAUGUGCGUUUAAGGGCAUCCAAUUGUUUCUGUAUCAGAACAGCAGCAACAUCCCGGGCAGGCCUUUCCUCUGGAGUUCACGUGUAGGUCGUACUGACACACAACAUGGCCUAAAUGGACCAUGGAGGAGGAAGGGACCCCAAAUCCAGGCCAAAUGGGAGCAGGGUUGUCCUCAGGAGGACCCCAGCUAGAAGACUUUCUCUGGAACCCACGGUGCCUCUCACUAAAGUGCCCCAACGUUGGCACAACACCUACCGAAUUGUUGUUGCUGACUCUCUAUGCCCAUGAUUCAACCAGAACAACAUUGAUUCGUUAAAAGGUGCAUGAAUAAACUUGACUCUGGAAACAA